GGUCCGCUGGCUCAAUGGCAGAGCGUCUGACUACGAUGGGUAAUCAGGAGGUUCCAGGUUCGACCCCUGGGUGGAUCG